rnacentral:rRNA from 1 species
ACGGAGGGUGCGAGCGUUAUUCGGAAUUACUGGGCGUAAGGCGCGUGUAGGCGGGGAUGCAAGUCUGAUGUGAAAGCCCUGGGCUUAACCUGGGAAGUGCAUUGGAAACUGCAUUUCUUGAGUACUGGAGAGGAAGGGGGAAUUCCCGGUGUAGAGGUGAAAUUCGUAGAGAUCGGGAGGAAUACCAGUGGCGUAGGCGCCCUUCUGGACGGUUACUGACGCUGAGACGCGAAAGCGUGGGGAGCAAAAAG